AUUGAACGCUGGCGGCAGGCCUAACACAUGCAAGUCGAACGAGUGGCGGACGGGGGAGUAAUGUCUGGGAAAAUGCCUGAUGGAGGGGGAUAACUACUGGAAACGGUAGCUAAUACCGCAUACCAUCAGAUGUGCCCAGAUGGGAUUAGCUAGUUGGUGGGGUAACGGCUCACGAAGUCGACGAUCCCUAGCUGGUCUGAGAGGGUGACCCGCCAAACUGGAACUGAGACACGGUCCAGACUCCGACGGGAGGAAGCAGUGGGGAAUCUUGCACAAUGGGGGCAAGCCGGAUGCAGCCAUGCCGCGUGUAUGAAGAAGGCCUGCGGGUUGUAAAGUACUUUCAGCGUGGAGGCGUUACCCGCAGAAGAAGCACCGGCUAACUCCGUGCCAGCAGCCGCGGUAAUAC
rnacentral:rRNA from 1 species